rnacentral:rRNA from 1 species
AACCAAAGGGGGCGAGCGUAAGCAGCUCUCACCGAAGGAGGAGCCUGCGUCCGAUUAGCUAGUUGGUGGGGUAAUGGCCUACCAAGGCGACGAUCGGUAGCCGGCCUGAGAGGGCGAUCGGCCACACUGGAACCGAGACACGGUCCAGACUCCUACGGGAGGCAGCAGUGGGGAAUAUUGCGCAAUGGGCGAAAGCCUGACGCAGCGACGCCGCGUGGGUGAUGAAGGCCUUCGGGUCGUAAAGCCCUGUCUGGUGGAACGAAACGCCUGGCGGCCAAUACCCGCUGGGUUUGACGGUACCACCGAAGGAAGCCCCGGCUAACUACGUGCCAGCAGCCGCGGUAAGACGUAGGGGGCGAGCGUUGUUCGGAUUUACUGGGCGUAAAGCGCGCGUAGGCGGCCAGAUAAGUCGGGUGUGAAAGCCCUCGGCUCAACCGAGGUUCCGCAUCCGAUACUGCUUGGCUGGAGUCUAGGAGAGGAGAGCGGAAUUCCCAGUGUAGCGGUGAAAUGCGUAGAUAUUGGGAGGAACACCCGUGGCGAAGGCGGCUCUCUGGACUAGUACUGACGCUGAGGCGCGAAAGCUAGGGGAGCGAACGGGAUUAGAUACCCCGGUAGUCCUAGCCGUAAACGAUGGGCACUAGGUGUGGGAGGUAUUGACCCCUUCCGCGCCGAAGCUAACGCAUUAAGUGCCCCGCCUGGGGAGUACGGCCGCAAGGCUAAAACUCAAAGGAAUUGACGGGGGCCCGCACAAGCGGUGGAGCAUGUGGUUCAAUUCGACGCAACGCGAAGAACCUUACCAGGGCUUGACAUCCCACGAACCUGCCUGAAAGGGCGGGGUGCCCGCAAGGGAGCGCGGAGA